rnacentral:lncRNA from 1 species
UUUUUAGAUCUAGACUGUGUAAUAGAUACAGAAAAAACAAUACAAUUAUGGAUAGGAUAUAUGACAAAACAAUUAUUAGAUAAUAAUAUAAAUAUAACAGAUGCACCGGAAUAUAUAGAAAAAACAUUAAUAGGAUCAGUAAAACUAUGGUUUGCAAAUCUAACCGAAAAUAGCAAAAAAGUAUUAAGAACUAGUAAACCUAUAGAAGGAACAUCAUUGACGACAACUAAACUAACACCUAUAGAACUAUUAAAAAAAUAUGAAACAGCUAUAAAAGAUGAAUUUGGUAGUACAACAACAAUAGAAGAAGAACAAGAUGAAGAAAAAGAUACAAAUAGAAAUUUAAUGUUAAAAUUAGCAAUAUGUAAUAUGUGUUAUAUAGAUGAAUAUACUUGCGCAUUUAAAGAAUAUUAUUACAAAGGAGCAUAUAGUAUAGAAGAAAGUAAAGAAAUAAGAAAAUUAUAUUUUAAUAAAUUACCCGAGCCAUUUAGUUCGAAAAUAAUAAAAAGUUGGGAAGAAGCAAAAAUAGUAGAUACGUUAGGAGCAAGAAUAAAAUAUUUACAACAAUGGUAUAGAAACUUAUGUGAAAAAUAUAGAGAAGAAUUAAAAAUGGAAAAAACAUUAAUAAGAAAUUUAGCAUGUUGCAAAAAUAAAAUAGCACCCCAAUUUGGAUGCGAAGAAAGAUAUUAUAAGAAAAGAAAAAGACAUAAGAAAUAUAAAAAAUAUAAAAAAUCGAAAUAUAAAUAUAAGAAACCAAGAAAAAGAUAUUAUGUAAAAAAUUAUAAACAUAAAAGACCAUAUAGAAAGAAGAAAUCUAUAAAAGAAUGUACUUGUUAUAAUUGUGGAAAGUUAGGACAUUUAGCUAGAGAUUGUAAAUUACCUAAAAAUCCAAAAAAUAAACAAAUAUCAGAAAUAAAAAUAGAAAAUACCGAAUACAUGCAGAUAGAUUAUAUAGAUUAUGAAUUAGAAAGUGAAGAUAGUAUAUAUGAAAUUUCAGAAAACGAAACAGAUAAUGAAAUAGAUAGCGAAAUAGAUGAAUCAAAUGACUGAAGAAGAUAUAAAAAUAAUAACAAAGGAAGAAUAUUUAAAUGAUGAAGGAACGGAACAAAAAAUAAUAUUUGACAGUAAUAUAUUUGAUGAAAUAAAAGGAAAAGAAUUAGAUUUAAGUGUAGAAAAAAUAUUUAAAAUACCAACAAUAAAAAAUAUUUUUACUAGGAAAAAAGAUGAAUAUUAUGUAGUAUGUCAAAAAGAACAUGUAAUAGACUGCAGAUAUGCAAGAGGAAAAGCUAGUAUACCACUGGUAACAAAAAGAAUAAUUAAUAAAGAAAUAAAUGAUAUAAAAAGUAAAGGAGAUCCAAUAAAAUAUGUACACCUUGGAGGUACAGAGAUAUUAAUAAAAGCAUGUUUUAGAGAAGGAAUAGAUACACCAAUAGAAUUAUAUUUAGCAGAUGAUAGAAUUAUAAAACCUAUUGAAAAAAGCAUAAUAACUGCCGUAAAAGGAAAUCUAAUAUACCC